rnacentral:rRNA from 1 species
CCUACGGGAGGCAGCAGUGGGGAAUAUUGCACAAUGGGGGAAACCCUGAUGCAGCAACGCCGCGUGGGUGAAGGAGCGUUUCGGCGCGUAAAGCCCUGUCAGCGGGGAAGAAGAAAGACGGUACCCGACCAAGAAGCCCCGGCUAACUACGUGCCAGCAGCCGCGGUAAUACGUAGGGGGCGAGCGUUAUCCGGAAUUACUGGGUGUAAAGGGAGCGUAGACGGCGAGGUAAGCCUGAAGUGGAAGCCCGCGGCCCAACCGCGGAACUGCUUUGGGAACUGUUUUGCUGGAGUAUGGGAGGGGUAAGCGGAAUUCCUGGUGUAGCGGUGAAAUGCUUAGAGAUCAUACAGAACACCGAUUGCGAAGGCAGCUUACCAAGCUACUUCUGACGUUGAGGCACGAAAGCGUGGGGAGCAAACAGGAUUAGAUACCCUUGUAGUC